AAGGAAAAAAGAAGCCAUUCCCUACUUUAAACUUCUCUGCUUUGUAUCUAGGACUGACAUUCAGACGUGGAGCAAGUUGGACUGCAUAGGGACCCACCAGUGAGAUGGACGCUGUCUGUAAACGGUUCUCCAGGGAGGCUGCUCUGCCAAGUCUGGUAUUUCAUGAAUAGAUCUGAAAACAGACAUUAUCUCUUCUCCCAGUGAAGAGAGAGCGAUGAAGCCUCAGGACAAAAGGAGGCAGUGGGAUGAUGCCACCAAGGGACCAUUCUGAAGAGCCAUCAGCAAAAAGCAGCCACACCUGCUUAUGUGGCUCUGGGACAAAUGAUCUGAGCCGUGACGUGGAACUUAGAUGCAGUAAAGUCCAUUGUAUUGA
rnacentral:lncRNA from 1 species